rnacentral:lncRNA from 1 species
UGGCAAGGAGUUGCACGAAUGGCACAAAUUGGAGAAGAAGAAAAGUGAGCAAAGGAAAGGCAAGACAUAGACGACAUAAGGAAGGAGAGCAAAAACGGACCCAAAAAAAAAAAUUGAAUGCCUUGGGUUACACGACAAAAGUUUUUUAGAAAGGGAGAAGAAGCCAAUAAAGUGGGGAGGUCUUGAGGCAAUAGAAUGCGGAGAAAGAAUCUAGAGAGAUAUUGAGAGGGUCAUCAUUGGAUACGUUAAGAAAGGCAGGAGAAAGUAAAGAUGCUGCAUGAAAAAAUUCUAAUGUCCUCAAAUUAGCUAUACUUGAGGUUAAAUUAUGGGAAUGCAUUAAGAGAAAAAUGAAGAAAAAGUG